rnacentral:rRNA from 1 species
UGGGGAAUAUUGGACAAUGGGCGAAAGCCUGAUCCAGCCAUGCCGCGUGUGUGAAGAAGGUCUUCGGAUUGUAAAGCACUUUAAGUUGGGAGGAAGGGCAGUAAGCGAAUACCUUGCUGUUUUGACGUUACCGACAGAAUAAGCACCGGCUAACUCUGUGCCAGCAGCCGCGGUAAUACAGAGGGUGCGAGCGUUAAUCGGAUUUACUGGGCGUAAAGCGUGCGUAGGCGGCUAAUUGAGUCGGAUGUGAAAUCCCCGAGCUUAACUUGGGAAUUGCAUUCGAUACUGGUUAGCUAGAGUGUGGGAGAGGAUGGUAGAAUUCCAGGUGUAGCGGUGAAAUGCGUAGAGAUCAGGAGGAAUACCGAUGGCGAAGGCAGCCAUCUGGCCUAACACUGACGCUGAGGUACGAAAGCAUGGGGAGCAAACAGG